AUGGGGGUAAAAGCUCGUCUGCCAGAGGUUUAACCAAAACUCUAACUUAAAAACUUGAUUUUUUAAAUUGUCAUUUUUGAAAUUUGUCUGAUUAACUUCGGAUGAAACAAAUAUUCAAAACUUUCAACAACGGAUCUCUUGGUUCUCGCAUCGAUGAAGAACGCAGCGAAUUGCGAUAAGUAUUGUGAAUUGCAGAAUUUCGUGAAUCAUCGAAUCUUUGAACGCACAUUGCACCCUGUGGUAUUCCACAGGGUAUGCCUGUCUGAGCGUCAUUUCUCUCUCAAAACGCAAGUUUUGGUGUUGAGUGAUACUCGGGUUAAAUGGCUUGAGUUUGCUUGAAAAGUAUUGGCAAGGGAAGUGAGACUUCACUACAGCUGUUUAUUCAAUGUAUUAGGUUUAUCCAACUCGUUGAUUGACAGGUGGAAUGAGAUUUUGCUAAUAGGCCCGGCCUUACAACAAACAAACCAAAGUUUGACCUCAAAUCACGUAGGAUUAGCCGCUGAACU
rnacentral:rRNA from 1 species